UACAGAGGUCUCAAGCGUUGUUCGGAUUCAUUGGGCGUAAAGGGUGCGUAGGCGGCGCGGUAAGUCGGGUGUGAAACGUCUCCGGAGCUUAACUCCGAAACUGCAUUCGAUACUGCCGUGCUUGAGGACUGGAGAGGAGACUGGAAUUUACGGUGUAGCGGUGAAAUGCGUAGAUAUCGUAAGGAAGACCAGUGGCGAAGGCGGGUCUCUGGACAGUUCCUGACGCUGAGGCACGAAGGUCAGGGGAGCAAACGGG
rnacentral:rRNA from 1 species